AAUAAAGACUCAUUUUUGGUUAACAGAUUUUAAUUCUAACCAAUUUACAUUUUUUUUAAUUAAAAUGUCAGUUUUUUUUCUAGAGCCAAUUAGGGUCUUUAAAGAAGUUGUUACUUCCAAAGAACAAAGACAAGUUAAUGACAAUUCAAAUCUACAUAUUCUUUAUGUGCACUUAUCUUGAUCUCUUACCCAAAUGCUAACCCACCUGGAAGACCAGGAGCUUGGGGCAACCACGAGGAGGAUUCCUGGAACUCUUAGCCAGACCACAGCAUUGAGCAGUUCAGAACCCACCUGCUCUGGAAAUGGGGUUAUUACUAGGGACUACCCAGGACCUUGUGAGCCUUUCAGAUAGUUUAUCAAGCAACUUAGUUCCAAGCUUAACAACCUCACAGAUGGGAGAGGAAGCUGGUGCCGGUUACUCAGUGUUCAGAAUAACAUCUUUCAUGUCCGCUUUUCAUAUUAUUAACAUCCAAGUGGGAUAAAGGGCUCUUGGCUCAUGUUAGUACUCUCUCCAAUUGGGGUUUUGCUGUCAGUGUCCCAUCUGUGCAGCAUAGCCUCUGAGGUAUGUAUGGAACCAUCACCCACACAAAUCUUCUUUACUAUCACUAAGAACAUACACAGGAAGUGGUGGUCACUGCCCUUAUGACACACUCUGUUUUCUUAAAUCAAUUCUACAGACACACCUCUUCACUUAAAGGCUUAAAAAUGUAUCUAAGAAUAAUAUUUGUAAAAGUAUACUUGACAAAUGAUGAACUAGAUGAAAUAAAAGUGUUGAUGUGUCUAUGUAAAUAUUCUAAUGUGAGAUAUAGUACAAGGAAGAAAAUAUGGUGUGUACACACACACAUACUUACACUGGGCCUGAUCUUACCACGAAGUAGAAACUAAAUUUUCUCUUAUGAAUACAAAUUAUUUUUAGACCACUUUUUCUGUUUGAUUGGAACCUUAAUGCCUUAGCAUAGUUGAGCCAUGAGAAAACAAGUUAUGUUAAUGUAGGGACAAACAUGGUUUAAC
rnacentral:lncRNA from 1 species